GAGCCCUAUGGCAGAGAAUUCAAAAGGCCCUAUCCCAAACUGCAUUUCCCAGACUUCUGCUCAGCAUCAGAAAACUCCAAUUAGGAUAGGGGAGAGAUUUUCUCCUCCUAGCAGCAGCCAGAGUUCUAAUGAAUUGUUGAAUCUGCAAAAAGGAGGACUGACUCAAUACAAAUACUUCUGCAGUUUGGUAUCUAACUGAAAGCGAUUGUGGAUUCAUCUACACAGGCCAACUGAGGUCUCCAUCUUCACAUAUGAGCACUCCAGAACUACCUCAAACAAGAAGGCUGAUGAGCAUAGACUGGAUGAAACCUCAAUAGAAAUCUUGGUCCAGCACCAGGCCUUCCACCGCCCGUUCCCAUGGUGAAAACGAUACCAGCUCAUUCAUCUCUGAUCAAAAUUCAAGGAUGAGUUCAAUGUCAUUAUGAACUGCAACACCAUCAAGCAAACCUGCAAAUAGCUUCCUCAUCUAGUAAACCUUUGAGACUCCACCACCAGCACAAUUUAUAUAUUCCUCAUAAGCAAUGAUACGACAUUAUAAAUUGAGACUUAAAAUCAUUGUGUAAAGGCUGACUACAUUAAACAAAAUCAACACUUUGACUUGCCAUGUUAACAGACAGAACUCACACUUUCCUCAUGAGGUCAAAAUUAAUCUUUCAAUCAACCAAAAUUGAAAAUUAGGCAAGCUUUCCAAAUGAGCCUCUUAGCAACUACUAUGUAGCCAUAAUUGCUGCCUAUUCAUAGGAUCAUUCCCAAAGUGCAAUGCUCAUUUACAUUUGUCAUUUGAGAUGAUGCCUGAAAUGGAUUCUGUGCUCUGAGCUUUGUCUGUAAACACCUGCUUUAAUGAACUGGUUCAUUGCGGUGCUAUGAAAAUGUCAUUGCUGAUACAUUAAGAGCUGCCAUUUAUGACCACGUAAAGUCAGGCUAACUAUGUAUUACCACUGUCCCUGACAUCAACUCCAUAAAUGUUGUUUACAGUGUUAUUUAUCUCAUGCCGAAGUAUGCAAACUGCAGCUGCAUGCUUUCUAGUUGAGUGAAAGAAUGCUGAGAAACAUUGAUCGAUGGACUUUGAAUCCUCUUUUAAUUGCCCAUUGGCAUCAGUAGAUUGGCAUUUACUCUCUCUUUAAUAGUCAUCCAAAUAAACUAUUGAAAAAACAUUGGAAUGAGUUAACGUCGUCAGACUUUAUUGGAAUUGUUUAUCCUGAAGAGGGGAAGCAGCAGCAUAGUUAAUGGGGUGCAGAUGAGCCAAUAACGGUAUGAUGUAAUUCCUCCUUCAUUCCCCAAUUCAGGGGGAAAUGAUCAUCAAAUUAUAUUGCAUGUUCUAUGCAGAAAUCUAUUUGGAGUCUCAGGCUGUUACAUCUAUAGGUAUGGGAACUGUCUCCUCCGGACACCAUUGAUUAACAGAAUGGCUUAGAUAGGUGAUGUAUCAAUUGUUUGCAAGUGCUGACAAUUAAAAUGCUACCGUUGGCAUGAGGAGCUGUAUAUAGGCACAAAGCUUGUUCUUUUAAAUGUUUUGAGAAUCAGGUUAGAGACAAGGAGGAACCACAUGAAUUAAAAUGCCAAUGCCUCAAGGUGACUUUAGAAAAAAUAUGCCACGUGGCUUGCUUUGUGUCCUUUAUGACUUUUUAUCCCCCGUUCUAUCCUGUCACUGCCAAUGCCCCUGUACUCUUCAUGCUUUAUCUGAAACUCUCUCUUUAUUGCUGAUAAAUAAUC
rnacentral:lncRNA from 11 species